GAACAUCGUAGCCACGACGAUCGGAAGC
rnacentral:sRNA from 1 species